GAUGAACGCUGGCGGCGUGCCUAAUACAUGCAAGUCGAGCGAACAGACGAGGAGCUUGCUCCUCUGACGUUAGCGGCGGACGGGUGAGUAACACGUGGAUAACCUAUCUAUAAGACUGGGAUAACUUCGGGAAACCGGAGCUAAUACCGGAUAAUAUAUUGAACCGCAUGGUUCAAUAGUGAAAGACGGUUUUGCUGUCACUUAUAGAUGGAUCCGCGCCGCAUUAGCUAGUUGGUAAGGUAACGGCUUACCAAGGCAACGAUGCGUAGCCGACCUGAGAGGGUGAUCGGCCACACUGGAACUGAGACACGGUCCAGACUCCUACGGGAGGCAGCAGUAGGGAAUCUUCCGCAAAGGGCGAAAGCCUGACGGAGCAACGCCGCGUGAGUGAUGAAGGUCUUCGGAUCGUAAAACUCUGUUAUUAGGGAAGAACAAAUGUGUAAGUAACUAUGCACGUCUUGACGGUACCUAAUCAGAAAGCCACGGCUAACUACGUG
rnacentral:rRNA from 1 species